AGUAAAAAGUGGCAAAAUAUUACUUUCCUUGCAACUUCAUUUUGACAACCAGAUCGUUUUUUUUUUUUCACAAGUUUUAAACACAUUUUACACAACGUAAAACAACUAAAUUGUUUCCCACACAGACAUUCAUUUUCCCCCAAUAAAAAUAUUUAAUUUAUAUAUAUGUACUCUAUAUCAAAAUUUAGAUAAUGAAUGCAUGUUCUUCAUAGAAGAGAUUUAUUCAGUUCUUGUGUUUUAUUGACAUAUCAGAUCCAAGCAAAAGUCACUUCACUGACCCAGAAAUAUUGUCUUAAAUAAAAGAUGAAUGUAAAAACUCUGAUAUCAAUAGGCUACGUUAACAUUUUCCUUUAUGCAAAAUAAAAAUAGUGUUUUGUUUUGUUUUUUUCUGCACAGACUGCUUUACAGAUAAUCUGAAUUUGGACAAAAAUAUUUAAAAUUAAUGCCAGUGGUGAAUGAAAAUGAAAUAAAACUUUCUGGCUUUUUUUUUAUUCUAGCAGAUAAGCCCAAGGUGUACCAGGGUGUGCGUGUGAAGACCACUGUUAAGGAGUUACUGCAGAAGCACAGAGCCCUGCAGGCACAGAAAACCGCAACGGUAAACAAUGGUGUUGAAUACCAAUAAAGCUCAUAAGUCAGACACUACUGACGUAUAAGUUUAUGGUAGCCAAACUAAAACGAAGCCUGGUCAGUGCAAUACCAAAUUUAAUCACCAAGCAUAUGUCUUAAAGCACCACGCCCCCUCAGGCCUAUCUGUGCUCGAGGUUUCAGUCGAUACCACAUAACUGUACAAACUAACUGUUUUUCAACUGAACGAAAGCAGUAAUGAAUAUUUUCCCUUGCUUCUCUCUCUCUUUUACAAUUGCAAUCCUACAGAAAUCACAAGCCAUGGCUGCUCGCGAUGUCUGCUCUACGACCAUGAAUACCCACCUUGAUGUCUUUGGAAUGCAAGCUCCAGAGCCCUAUUUCCAGACACGUCCCUUUACCGAAAAUGUCAAUAUCCCGAUGGAGAAUGCUUAUGAUCAUCAACAAAUGAUGCACCUGAUGCCACAUGAGACUUUCAGCGGCAGUAAUUUCGUGUGUCCCACUUCUUCGCAGUGGUCUAAUGGAUAUAUUCCUUCUAACACGGACCUCUAUGGUACUAGCCUGGUAUCGAGAUCACCCUCUGAUACUUUCAAUCUCCCAAGUCCAGUCGACUACAACAGUUACUCUCCCCCUCAGUCCAACUCUUCAUCUUCUUCGUGCUACAGCUCUCCAACGCGGAUGGAUUUGAGCUCUAGUUUCUCUCCAGAAAAUUACCACUAUCAGCAUUGCAACCUACAGAAUUGCUUUUGUCUUUCGCAUUGGUCCAAUCUGCAGGAAGGCAUGGCAACCUCGGAGUUUGCGCCCUACGGCUCUUCAGACUGUUUGUAUUCAUAUGGCGACGACAGUUAUUUCAGAAGGGAUACUUCAAACUCAGAGAUGUGUUUCUUAUAA
ensembl:lncRNA